GGCUGCACAGGGUGCGCGGGGCGCGGCGGCCGGAGCCCGGCGCCCGCCAUGGGCCGCCCCGAGCGGGGCGCGCUCCGGCCGCUGGCGCUGCUGCUGCUGCUGCUGCAGCUCCAGCAUCUCGCGGCGGCGGCAGCGGAUCCACUGCACGGCGGCCAAGGGUCGGUCAAGGAGUGCGAAGAGAACCAGUUCCGGUGCCGGAACGAGCGCUGCAUUCCCUCCGUGUGGAGGUGCGACGAGGACGACGACUGCUCGGAUAACAGUGACGAGGACGACUGCCCCAAGAAGACCUGUGCAGACAGCGACUUCACCUGUAACAACGGCCACUGCAUCCGAGAGCGGUGGAAGUGUGAUGGCGAGGAGGACUGUCCAGACGGCUCUGACGAGUCGGAGGCCACGUGCACCAAGCAGGUGUGUCCUGCAGAGAAGCUGAGCUGCGGACCCACCAGCCACAAGUGUGUGCCGGCCUCGUGGCGCUGUGAUGGGGAGAAGGACUGCGAGAGUGGAGCGGAUGAGGCUGGAUGUGCCACGUUGUGCGCCCCGCACGAGUUCCAGUGCAGCAACCGCUCGUGCCUGGCCGCCGUGUUCGUGUGCGACGGCGACGACGACUGCGGCGACGGCAGCGACGAGCGCGGCUGCGCCGACCCGGCCUGCGGGCCCCGCGAGUUCCGCUGCAGCGGCGACAGCGGCGCCUGCAUCCCGGAGCGCUGGGUCUGUGACCGCCAGUUCGACUGCGAGGACCGCUCGGACGAGGCGGCCGAGCUGUGCGGCCGCGCGGGCCCCCGGGCCACGCCCGCGCCGGCCACCUGUGCCGCCGCCGCCCAGUUCGCCUGCCGCAGCGGCGAGUGCGUGCACCUGGGCUGGCGCUGCGACGGUGACCGCGACUGCAAGGACAAGUCGGACGAGGCCGACUGCCCGCUGGGCACCUGCCGUGGAGACGAGUUCCAGUGUGGGGAUGGGACUUGUGUGCCUGCCAUCAAGCGCUGUAACCAGGAGCAGGACUGUCCAGACGGGAGUGACGAAACUGGCUGCCUGCAGGAGUCAACAUGUGAGGGUCCCCGCAGAUUUCAGUGUAAGAGUGGCGAGUGCGUGGACGGCAGGAAAGUGUGUGAUGCUCAGAGGGACUGCCGGGACUGGUCGGAUGAGCCUCUGAAAGAGUGUGUUCUGCCAACAUCCCAGAGAAACAGGAGGCGGCCCAGGGGCCUGAACGAGUGUCUGCACAACAAUGGCGGCUGUUCCCACAUCUGCACUGACCUUAAGAUUGGCUUUGAGUGCACGUGCCCUGCAGGCUACCAGCUCCUGGACCAGAAGACCUGUGGCGACAUCGAUGAGUGCGAGGACCCAGAUGCCUGCAGCCAGAUCUGUGUCAAUUACAAGGGCUACUUUAAAUGCGAGUGCCACCCUGGCUACGAGAUGGACACACUGACCAAGAACUGCAAGGCCGUUGCUGGCAGAAGCCCAUCCCUGAUCUUCACCAACCGGCACGAAGUGCGGAGGAUAGACCUGGUAAAGCGGGACUACUCACGGCUCAUCCCCAUGCUCAAGAACGUCGUGGCGCUGGACGUUGAAGUUGCCACCAAUCGCAUCUACUGGUGUGACCUCUCCUACCGCAAGAUCUACAGCGCCUACAUGGACAAAGCCAGCAACCCCGUGGAGCAGGAUGUCCUCAUUGACGAGCAGCUGCACUCUCCCGAGGGCCUGGCGGUGGACUGGGUCCACAAGCACAUCUACUGGACCGACUCUGGCAACAAGACCAUCUCCGUGGCCACAGUUGACGGCAAACGCCGAUGUACUCUCUUUAGCCGUAACCUCAGCGAACCCCGGGCCAUUGCCGUCGACCCCCUGCGAGGGUUCAUGUAUUGGUCUGACUGGGGGUUCCAGGCCAAGAUUGAGAAGUCCGGGCUCAACGGUGUGGGCCGGCAGACACUGGUGUCGGAUGGUAUUGAGUGGCCCAACGGAAUCACCCUGGAUUUGCUGAACCAGCGCUUGUACUGGGUAGACUCCAAGCUGCACCAGCUGUCCAGCAUUGACUUCAGUGGAGGCAACAGGAAGAUGCUGAUUUCCUCCCCUGACUUCUUGAGCCACCCUUUUGGGAUAGCUGUGUUUGAGGACAAGGUGUUCUGGACGGACCUGGAGAAUGAGGCCAUUUUCAGUGCAAAUCGGCUCAAUGGCCUGGAAAUCUCCGUCCUAGCUGAGAACCUCAACAACCCACAUGAUAUCGUCAUCUUCCAUGAGCUGAAGCAGCCAAGAGCUGCAGAUGCCUGUGAGCUGAGUGCCCAGCCCAAUGGAGGCUGUGAGUACCUGUGCCUUCCUGCUCCUCAGAUCUCCAGCCACUCCCCCAAGUACACGUGUGCCUGUCCUGACACAAUGUGGCUGGGCCCUGACAUGAAGAGGUGCUACCAAGCACCUCAGUCUACCUCAACUACGACGUUAGCCUCUACCACAGCGAGGACACUAGCCGACACCACCAGAGCCCCUGGGACCACCAUCCACAGCCCCACCUACCAGAACCACAGCACAGAGACACCAAGCCUGGCUGCCGCGGUCCCAAGCUCAGUUAGUGUCCCCAGGGCUCCCAGCAUCAGCCCGUCUACCCCAAGCCCUGCAACCAGCAACCACUCCCAACACUAUGGGAAUGAAGGGGGAAAGAUGGGCUCCACAGUCACAGCUGCUGUCAUUGGGAUCAUCGUGCCCAUGGUGGUCAUAGCCCUGCUGUGCAUGAGUGGCUACCUGAUCUGGAGAAACUGGAAGCGGAAGAAUACCAAAAGCAUGAAUUUCGACAAUCCAGUGUACAGGAAAACAACCGAAGAGGAGGAGGAGGAUGAGCUGCACAUAGGGAGGACUGCUCAGAUUGGCCAUGUCUACCCAGCAGCAAUCAGCAGCUUUGAUCACCCACUGUGGGCAGAGCCCUGUCUUGGGGAGACCAGAGAACUGGAAGACCCAGCCCCUGCCCUCAAGGAGCUUUUUGUCUUGCCGGGGGAACCAAGGUCACAGCCGCACCAACUCCCGAAGAACCCUCUUUCCGAGCUGCCUGUCGUCAAGUGCAAGCCCCAUUUUGCAGAUGAGGAAACUGAGACUCAGAGAAAUUGAAUAACUUACCUAGGAUCACAACCAGGAAGUGGCAGAACCAGGAUUCACACUCUUGUCUCGAGUGGCAUUAAGCCUUGAAGAUGAUGGACUGCCCUGAGGAUGGGACCACUCCCUUCGUGCCUCAUGGAAUUCAGUCCCAUGCACUACCCUCUGGAUGGUGUAUGCCUGGAUGGAAGGGUUUCUGUACUUGAGUCUGUGUGUAUGUGUGUGUGUGAGAGAGAGAGAGUGUGUGUAAUUUUUUAAAUUUAUGUUGCAGAAAGGUAACCACAAAGUUAUGAUGAACUGCAGACAUCCAAAGGAUGUGAGAGUUUUUAUAUGUAUAAUGUUUUAUACAAUUUUUAACUGGUUGCACUACCCAUGAAGAAUUCAUGGAAUAGCUACUGCUGAGUGACUAACAUGAUGUACAUAACCAAAUGGGGCCGAUGGUACAGUAGCUUACUCAUCAUUUAAAAAUUAUAUUUACAGAGGGCUUUUGGUUUGGAGGGUCUAUUUUAGGUUUCAGAGUUAUGUUUUGUUUUUUGUUUUUUUUUGUAAAUAGAAUGAUAAUGCUUUGUGGCUAUCCAUCAACAUAAGUAAAAAGAAAAAAACAGAAGACACGUCAACUCCCUCUCCCAUUUAGGUUAUUUAUUAACAUAUUUCAAAACCAAGAUUAGUUCUGUAAGUAAUUUAGAGACGUGAGAGUAUUUAUUUUUGGUAUGAUUGGCCCACGAUGUGGUCUCUGUGUGCAUUUAUGUUUCUGUGUGUACGCAAGUGAGAGAGGAAAGUCUGUAGAGAAGAGGUGCGCCUAUGGCUGUUGUUCAGUUACAUAAAGAUAAGUAUAUUUUAAAACAACCCACAAGAGAGGUGUGUCUGUAGUUUUCAGAGAAGCCUUUGUAAAUUUGGCUCAGAAAAGAGUUAUCGUGAUUUGUGCAAACAUGCAGUGGAAGAGGUAGAUCUUUCCUGCCUCUGGCUAUUCCUGGGACUCCAGUCAGUCAGAAAAGAGCCCCUCCGCUCAUGAGGGGCUGCCGUAGCUCUCACCUGGGCUUUCUCUUCUGUGGCUAAAGCCAGUGCACAGACUUCUCACAGUACGCAAAGUUCUCGCAAGCUCAGGUGAGAACAUUCCUGAACCUCGGCUACUCCUUGUUUUAAAGUCCAGCAUUUCAAGUAACUUCAUUUUCCUUCAGGACACUUGGAUUGAAUUCAUUGUUUUCUCUGAAGCAUACUGAGGGUGCCAUCCUUACUUAGAAAGAGCUAAGUGGAGAUGUUUUUAGAACCGCCCAAGUUUACUUUAGGGACUGGCUCAGGCACUUACCUCUGAGUAUCCUAUGGGUGAGGAUAAGGACGGAGGAAAAGAUUUUGUUAAUCUCUAUUUCGCCCUUCCCCUUACUCUCUGCCACAUCCUUAAGGUGGGGAAAACAGUUUAAGGUGAUACAUAGGUUUGUUACCAUCAUGUGUCUACAUAGAUGAACUGCUGUUUGGCUUAAGUCAGAAGAAGUGGCCAAACCUAAAGUCCUGUUUGAGGAGGAAAUGGCAUACACAAUAUUAUAGUACAGUGGAUAUAUAUGUUCACACAGGAAUUUGGUUUACUGCUUUGUAAAUAAAAGGAAAACUCUGGGUA